AUCGCCAAGCGGUAAGGCAGCGGGUUUUGAUCCCGCCAUUCCCAGGUUCAAAUCCUGGU
rnacentral:tRNA from 1 species